ensembl:processed_transcript
AGUGGAGCGAGGGGGUCCCCGUGAGCAUGAGGCAGAUUCUUACUUCCUCCCUUGUCUUUAGUUGGAGAAAGAAAAAAAAAAAAAAAAGAGCCACAAGGAAUCCUAACGGAGGUUCUCCAGCCUCUGAGGUACAGAAAAGGCCCCCCCCGGGGGGGGGGCUGAGCUGGGAAGGGGGUGGCUCCAGAGUUCAGAGCCUCCACAGUCUUUCAGGGCUAGGACUCAGAGAUUCGGGGUGAAGUGCAGAGCCCAGUAGCUGUGUUUGGAACCCAGCAUAUCUCAAGGACGGAAUAUGGGCUGGACUGUGAUUCCAGCCUUACAGGCGAGCGGCAGCCCUGUGGACUUGGGCUGAGCACCCCCUUGGGAUUUGAAGGGGAAGAGCAGAGACCUCACACUGCACAGAGGCCAUGCCUGUCACAGGCUAGUCCUGUCCCUCAGAU